AAUCAACACUCCACUCAGACAAUGCCCAGACCUCCAGAAACCAUGUGUCAAGCUCGGAUUGCCUUAGACAGCUCACCCAGCUGGAACUCUUAUGGGACCUUGGCACCAGAGACCACAAAUUCCUCUUUGAAGUUUUCUAACAGCAACAAUGGUAUUUCUGACUUGGCUUUCUUGUAUUUCUCUCACGUUAACAAAAUUGGUUCAGCAUCUACCAUGGGCUACAUGCUGAGCUACAGAGUUUCGCUCUGUCGCCCAGGCUGGAGUGCAGUGGCGCGCGAUCUCGGUUCACUGCAAGCUCCACCUCCCGGGUUCACGCCAUUCUCCUGCCUCAGCCUCCUGAGUAGCUGGGACUACAGGCGCCCGCCACCACACCCAGGAAUCCAACUUGCUGUUUGCUAUCACAUGUGCUAUACAUGCUGUUGAUGAAACUGCUAAAGGGGCUGAAUGUGACUGACGUCUUUGGAAGGAUGAGACUUAGCGUGCCUGUACAGUUGUGUCCAAAUGCUGUCCUCAUCUCCCAAUGAAAAGGUAUUGUAAAUAAAGAGAAAGAUCAGAGGCUUAUUUUAAACACUAAAUAUGAGCUAGGAGCUGUCCUAGACACUAUGUAAAAGUUUUAUUUAGUUCUCACUGUAAUGUUGGCCUUAUGUUAGCAUCCCAUUUUUCAGACUGAGGAAAUUAUGGCUCAGAGAGGUUAAGAGACUUAUUGAAGGUCACACAGCUCCACAAACUUUGGUGUAGAUUGAACGUGUACAUGGGUCUAUGUGACUUUGAAUCUUGCAUUCUUUACAUUAUUGGAAUAUUUCACAGAAGGAAAAUGACAUAUUAACAUGGCAAUAAGAUUUCUGGUUCCAGUCUGGUUACUGGUCUUCCAAGAGUGUUAUAGGAUGUAUAGCCUGAGCUCUGAAGCUUUGUUCUGAAGCAUGCUAUCAAUAUGAACAAAUUGGUAUGGAAGGAAGCCACAAAUUAUAUACUAAAAUCUAGUUCAUCAGAGGAAAAUAUAGUUAAAUACAUUUACAUUCCCAGAACUGUUAAUAUUGAAGAAUAAAACACACAGUGGGAAAGAGACGAAGAGAAAAUACGCCUGUUUUUAUGACUUGUUGAUAUCUACAGGGUUUUUCCUUAAGCCUCACAACAAUUUACAGCAUUGCCAGCAGCAUUCAGUACAUUCAGAACAGGAUAAUUUCACCCGCAGCUGAACUAGGGCCAUGCCUGGGACAGACAGAGAAUGGCCUUCCAGCAGACAUGCCAAGAAGCAAGCCAGGGUCAGUGAGUGAAGAGGAGGGCAGGCCCAUUUGAAGCAACACAGUUUAUGUAAGUGUGAUCUAACUGCUUUCACUGGAAAUGGGUCAGACUCCAGUUGAGAGAACCAGGGGCCUGAAUGACCCCAGCAAAAUCACUGUGGCAAUUCUUUCAAUCACCUCUGAGAAUAUGGCCCUGUGACGACAUAAUGACGUUUGGAUUAAUUCCAGUCGGCUGUGUUUUCCCCUCCUUUCUUGCCUCCCCGUAGUUGAUUUGCCAAAUUUUUUUUGUUUGCUUAAAUACGCGGAACUAAACAGGAUACAUUAUAUGACAGUCUGUGAUAAAUUUACCACUGGGAAUAGGGAAAAAGUAUGGGAUAAAGAAAUAGGUAUUUUUCGCCUCUCACAGCUGUGAUUCAGUUCUGACUCAAAAGGAAGUGUGCCACCUACUGAAUCACAGAAACCACUUCCUGUGGCUGUUUGGUUUAUUCUGGAGGAGCAUCAGGCCAAGUGCUGCCCUGCCCUGACCCUGACUGGCUCUUCAGAGCCAAGGCAUUCACAGCUUGAGGUGGUUUGGCCUCAGACUCUUGAGAACAUUGCAUAUUAAAUUACAAGUGUUUCGUUUCCUAGCAAGGAGUCUUUAGCAACAUGAAAACGAACGUGUGUUAUUUGCAAACCAAGUAUAUCAUUACUGAACCUGAAUAUCCUUACUUUUUCAUAAGGUACGUAUUCCGGAUGACCACUCUUAAGAUCUGAAUGUACACUGGUUCUGUUUUUCCUGAGGGGAACUUGGGCAGUCUGCAGGGUGGCAUUUACCAGCUGAGGGACUUCAAGAGCACCCUUUAAUCAGUGUGGCAGCACUCAACUUGUAUUCACUCACUCAGAGUAUUUUUGAGCAUGUACUUAUUGCCAUGUGCUGUGCUAGGUAGGGGUAGAGGGUACAGUGGUGAACAAGACCCCACAGCUCCUGACCUCAUGGCUCAUGUGUUCUACACCAUAAGGGAAUCAAGCUGUGUCUCCCGGGGCAGGGGCCUUCCUCUGUUCACCAUGCAGCCCCAGCAUCUAGCACCUGGCGUUGCAUAAAGGAGGCUCUAAAUCAAGCUUGUCCAACCCAAGGCCCACGGGCCACAUGUGGCCCAGGAUGGCUUUGAAUGCAGCCAAACACAAAUUUGUAAACUUUCUUAAAACAUUAUAAGAUUUGUGUGUAUGUGUUUUAGUCCAUCAGCUAUUGUUAGUGUUCAUGUAUUUUAUGUGUGGCCCAAGACAAUUCUUCUAUGUGGCCCAAGGAAACCAAAGAUUGAACACUCCUGCUCUAAAUACUUGUUUGUUGAAUAGAUACAUGAAAAGAAAGAAGGAGAGAAGGAAGAAAGGAGGGCGGAAGGAAAGGAAGAAGGGAGAGAAGAAGAGAAGAAAGAAGCAGAGAAAGGAAGAGAAAAGAAAUUACGGCCAGUGCGGUGGCUCACGCCUGUAAUCCUAGCACUUUGGGAGGCCUAAGCGGGCUGAUCACCUGAGGUCAGGAGUUCGUAAGCCAGCCUGGCCAACAUGGUGAAACCCUAUCUCUACUAAAAAUACAAAAAUCAGCAGGGCAUGGUGGUGCGUGCCUGUAAUCCCAGCUACCUGGGAGGCUGAGGUAGGAGAAUCGCUGGAACCCGAGAGGCGGAG
rnacentral:lncRNA from 1 species